CUGCCUUAUAGGUUCCUAGGCACUGCAAACUUAAAGUACAAAAUAGCAGUUUGUAGUCUGGGGAUGCAUUUUCAGGUAUUGUCCUCCUUAUGGGCUAUCAUCUUUUGCCACCUGCCUAAAUCUGACAGUUGAGCACCAGCUGGGAGUUAUGACCCGGAGAAGCAUAAAAGGGCCAUGGAGAGACAAAAUGAUCCAUCAAGUCCUACUUUUGUGCUAUCCGUGUUUGGAGACCAGGGCCUCCAAGGAGAGGGAAAGGAAUGUCAAAGCAAUGAAGGCUCAUAUUUGAACCUGCCAGCACGUGUAAGAUCCGAAGAGUGGGAACAAUCUCUCUUCCUUUCAGAAUUGGAUGUACUGGCCAUUGGAAAAGUCUUUCUUCUAAAUGUAGCGUAUUUUAUAUGAAAAC
ensembl:lncRNA